rnacentral:rRNA from 1 species
AUACGGAGGAUCCGAGCGUUAUCCGGAUUUAUUGGGUUUAAAGGGUGCGCAGGCGGCCAUUUAAGUCAGCGGUUAAAUCGUGGGGCUCAACCCCAUUCUGCCGUUGAUACUGGGUGGCUUGAUUGCGGUCGAGGUUGGCGGAAUUCGUUGUGUAGCGGUGAAAUGCAUAGAUAUGACGAAGAACACCGAUUGCGUAGGCAGCUGACCAGAUCGCAAAUGACGCUCAUGCACGAAAGUGCGGGGAUCGAACAGGAUUAGAUACCCUGGUAAUCCGCACAGUAAACGAUGAAUACUUGUUUUCGGCGAUAUAAUGUCGGAGGCAAAGCGAAAGCGAUAAGUAUUCCACCUGGGGAGUACGCCGGCAACGGUGAAACUCAAAGGAAUUGACGGGG